rnacentral:rRNA from 1 species
GACGAACGCUGGCGGCGUGCUUAACACAUGCAAGUCGAACGGAAAGGCCCUGCUUUUGUGGGGUGCUCGAGUGGCGAACGGGUGAGUAACAAGUGAGUAACCUGCCCUUGACUUUGGGAUAACUUCAGGAAACUGGGGCUAAUACCGGAUAGGAGCUCCUGCUGCAUGGUGGGGGUUGGAAAGUUUCGGCGGUUGGGGAUGGACUCGCGGCUGAUCAGCUUGUUGGUGGGGUAGUGGCUUACCAAGGCUUUGACGGGUAGCCGGCCUGAGAGGGUGACCAGCCACAUUGGGACUGAGAUACGGCCCAGACUCCUACGGGAGGCAGCAGUGGGGAAUAUUACACAAUGGGCGGAAGCGUGAUGCAGCAACGCCGCGUGCGGGAUGACGGCCUUCGGGUUGUAAACCGCUUUCGCCUGUGACGAAGCGUGAGUGACGGUAAUGGGUAAAGAAGCACCGGCUAACUACGUG